rnacentral:tRNA from 1 species
GCGGGUAUGGCGAAAUAGCAGACGCGCCAGCCUUAGGAGCUGGUGGGAGUAAUCCCGUGAGGGUGCAAAUCCUUCUACCCGCA